CCCCAUAUAAAACCCUAAACCUACUACACCCCACACACCGCCGAUUACCACGCGAGAGAACGAUGAAGAGAGAGAACGGUAGCCGGCCAUGUCCCCGUGUGUGUGCCGGAACGGCAGCGUCGCCUAUCACUGGUGGUAUGGUGGUGACUAGAGAGAUUAUCAGUGUGCGGUGGUGCCGGAUUCAGGGUGUGGUUCCGGUGAUUCGGUGCCAGAUUCAGGGUGCGGUUCUGGUGGUGACGGGUGCGGUUCCGGUGGUGAUUAUCAGUGUGAUUAGGCCUCCGACGAAUUAGGGUUCUAGCGAAAUUAAGAGGUUUUCUGAAGGCGGCGGUUAGGGUUCAGCAAGUGGAGUAUGGCUGGUGACAAGUCGAAUGGAGUAGACAACCGUUCAAGUUCAAGUCAUACAGGUAACCUCCCCGUUUGUUUUUGUUAUAACUGUUAAUGUCAAAUGUGGCUCAACUAUACGAAAUAUGAAAGUGAGGUUCUGUGUUAGUCCACCAUGAGAUAUUAAUGUUGAGCUCUUAUGAUAACAGUGAAAAUGGACGGUAGAAUGCCUGUAAAAAUGUAAAAAUGGAUAGUUUAUUAAAAUAGAAAACAUGUAUUAUUUGAUUCUAAAUUACAUAUAGUAUGCACAGAACUUUCACAGAAGGGUAACGUGUCAAAUUCUAUUUCUUUUAUUGAGCUAUAACUCUAUAAGUUAGGUUUCAAAUUAGGUUGCUGCUGGUACUCUAAACAAUGGUUUCUGAUCUGGGUCGAUGAAAGGGCAAUCUUGAGUUUUUGAGUUUGAAUUAAGUUCUUAAUUUUGCCUUGAUGAAACUCUAAUCAUGGUUAGUGUCGUUUUCUUUAACAUCCAUGAUUUGAUUAGUUGUUAAUGUUGAUAAUUUAUUAGUUUACUCAUGUGUAAUUGUUAUUAUUUAAGUUGUUAACGAACAAUUGGUUAGUUUAGAAAUCAAUAUGUUGGACUUCCAUUAUCAAUUUUCAUCGUUUAUAUUUCGUUUGUUCUUGGUUGGGAAAGCAUAUGUGAAAGAUAUAGGUGUGCGAUUGACAGGGGCGGAUCUAUACUAAAAGAACAGGUUCCUAGAACCCAGCCGGUUUGUAAUUUUUAUCGAAAAGCUAUAUAAAAAAUAGAGUAGGAACCCAUAAAUAAAUUUUAGGUGAACCCAUUAGAAAAAAAUGUUUGUUGUUCCACUGGUAUUGUGCGCCCUUUCCAAUUGUGAGAUCCUGAGUUCGGUUCACAGCAUCCAUCAACUUUUUUCAUAUUUCAUUCUUUUUUUUGGUUAGUAAAGUCCAAUGUUUUAGAAUCCGGUUUUUAUACCAUACCGGAUCUGGCUGAAAACGGUUUAACCGGGUGUAUCGGGCAGUUCAACCGGUUUUACCGGAUGGUUCAACCGCUACAACCGGCCGGUUUAAACCGGUUUUUAAAACAUUGGUAAAGUCCUCAUUUUUCAUUCACUUUUUCUUAGGCUGAAGUAAAAUCCAAAAAAUGUGAACACAAAACAUAUCUCGCCUCCACCCUGUCCAGCCCCCUUCCAGUCUUCAGCUCCAGCGACCGUCCACCACCUCCGUCUCCGGCGACCGUCCACCACCUCCAUCUCCGGCGACCAUCCACCACUCUAAGUUCCAAAUCUCUUUAAUUUUUAGGUGUGUUAUACCUUAUAGUUUUUUUAUGUUAAUUUUCAAUUUGUUAACUUUUUAUAUGCUUUAAACUAAGAUUAGUGAUUCUAGAGAUAAUGCUUGAUUCAUUUAUGGAUUUCAUAGUUUUGAGAGUCAUUUUAUUCAAAGAAAACUAAUGAUUUUCUUCAGAUACAUAUUUUUGUGUUGUUAAGGUAAAUUCUUCGAUGGUAAACAUUCAAUUUUUUUAUUUAUUUAUGAUUAUGUUUAUGAUUUUGAAAUUGUGAAUAUGAAUUUCUUUACGGCUAAUGCUAAUGGAAAUUUGAUAUGGAAGUUAGGGGUUUAUUAUGUUUUGCGACCCGAUCCGACCCAGCCCGAAAAUUCUUACUGAUGUUUGUGAAAUUUUGACCAACCAAAAAAGUAAACCCAUAAGAAAAAGAAUUCUGGAUACGUCGCUGGUAAUUGAGGUUGCAGGCUCAAGCCAUGAAUGAUUAGGAUGCCAUUGAUGGCACCUCCAUGUUGCCGUAUCAAUAAGGAAUUUGAUAGGGUUUAUGGUGGUGGUUGGCAACGUGUUGUGGCUUCAAAGUCACAAGGUCUUUCAUUUACUUCUAAUUGGAGUCUCUUAAAUUCCUCAUCUUAAAGGAUUCAUAGCCAGUUCCCCCACCUGUGAAAACUAAGGAGGAGAUCCUACUUUUCUUUAAGCUUUAUGACCCUUUAAAAGAGGAGCUUCGGAAGUAGCCUUCGCUCUCUACAGUUAAAGAGAUGUCUGGAUCUUCAACAGAUCAGGUAUAGUUUUUAAUUCCCAUGUUUCAAGUUUCAACUUAGUUAUAUAAUCUAGCUAGG